UUUGAAUUUAAAGAAAGCCCACUGCCAAGGAGGAGGGCUUGUUUUCAUUUAAAAAGAGGGAUGUGUAUGUGUUUAAGAGAGAGAGAGAGGGGACAGAGCUAGAGAGCAAGGAGGGAGAAGGUGGGGGUUGAUGAGAUCAUUUUCUGGGCCUGGAUGAAUCAGCUUUUCUGUCAGUAGAGAGCGCGAGGGAGAGAAUUCAGCACUCUAUUAAUCCACGUGAACAACUGGCCACAGCGAAUGAGAAGCACUUCAAGAUGUCAGCUGGGACAGGGUUUCCCCUGAGGGAAACUUGCAGACAUGAGCCUUGAUUACUGUAUCUCACAGUAACAGGAUGGUGAGUCACAGGUCAGGAUCAGAAACGACAGCAGUCCUGGAGAUGGAAGAGGUUUUGUGUCCCACUAAAACCUUAGGUGGUCUGAAUGAAAGCCAGCUGCUGUAUUCAAAAUGACAGACUCCUACAAGCAGGAUUUUUCCCAGUGGUAUUUCAAAAGGUGUACGAAAAGAAAACUUCAAAGAGCUGUAGGAUGUUCUGAACAGUCGUAUGUUUGCCAGAUGUGAAAAUAAAUUGUGCCAACGAUUGACAUCUGCGAUUAAUAAGCGUGCUUAAUUCAACUGGACUGCCUAACAGGGAAUACUGCUCCAUUUUAAAAAACACAAUAAGGAGAAUGUGAGAAUGCAGUUACAAUAGGAAGCUAUGAGGAACAAAAAUAGAAAAAUGUCUGUGGUAUUUGUGAUAUCUAAACAUACACAGGUAGCCUACGUGCCUCUGGUUAGGACAAGUUACAAUUCUAGAGCUGUGCAAGGCAACAGUUAAGGCAGAAAAUAAGUUACUGGCAAUUUGUUAAGACUUUACUUACAUCUGAAGAGUAAAAUUAAAGUCAGUCAUUAAUAAGAAAA